UCCUCGGUAGCUCAGAUGGGUAGAGCGUCUACCGUGCAAGCAGGAGAUCCCGGGUUCGAGUCCCGGUCGGGGCA
rnacentral:tRNA from 1 species